rnacentral:misc_RNA from 1 species
GAUGAAGAACGCAGCGAAAUGCGAUAAGUAAUGUGAAUUGCAGAAUUCAGUGAAUCAUCGAAUCUUUGAACGCACAUUGCGCCCCCUGGUAUUCCGGGGGGCAUGCCUGUCCGAGCGUCAUUACAACCCUCAAGCUCUGCUUGGUGUUGGGCCCCGCCGCCCCGGCGGGCCCUAAAGUCAGUGGCGGUGCCAUCCGGCUCCGAGCGUAGUAAUUCUUCUCGCUCUGGAGGUCCGGUUGUGUGCUUGCCAUCAACCCCCAAUUUUUUUCAGGUUGACCUCGGAUCAGGUAGGGAUACCCGCUGAACUUAAGCAUAUCAAUAAGCGGAGGG